ensembl:lncRNA
CGAUGCUGAUGAACAAUAAAUAGCCUACAAGUGAGGUUAAUGCUUAAUCCAUUAACAGAUUAUAGUUUUAUUACAAUAUUAUACACUGAGUAUAUAAAACAUCAAGGACACCUGCUCUUUCCAUGAAAUAGACUGACCAGGUGAAUCCAGGUGAAAGCUAUGAUCCCUUAUUAAUUGAUUGGCUGAGUUACCAGACAACAUUACAGGUUGUGUAAUCCCCCAUGCAAGGCCAAAAUGACUGCCAGAGCAUGCAGGCUUGGCAGAGGCAGGGCCACUGUACAGGUUAAUCUAGCACCAGCUAGCAUGACAAACAGGUACAUGAUCAGAUACAUGAGUAUGACAAUUAAUGCACUUACGUUGGGCAGAGCGCCUCUUAAAGAACAGCAGUGCAGCAAGGAGUCCAAUGAUCAGAGAGCCUAUGACUGCAACCGGGGCUAGCCAUUUGGUGGUGGAGACAAUAUCCAAGUGGUCACUUUUAAUACCUGGACAGACAAAAUGGACAGAAAUUAGGAGUUACAAAAUAAAUAGGCAAUUCAUAUGAAGUCAAGAGAAAAAGUGUCACGACUUCCGCCGAAGUCGGCCCUUCUCCUUGUUCGGGUGGUGUUCGGCGGUCGACGUCACCGGCUUUCUAGUCACUACCGAUCCAUUUUUCUGUUUCGUUUUGUUUCGUCUGAUUACAUACACACAUGUUUUACAUUCCCUCCUUCUGUUCUGUCCGUGAUUGUUUAUGUCGUUGUGUUCGUGUUAGAGUUUUGUUUUAUGUUCCAUUUUGGAAUUUUGCUUUAUUCUUUAAGUAAAUUCAGUUGGAUUACUCCAUACCUGCGCCUGACUCCGCUUUCACUCUGCACCCAAUCGCUGACAGAAUCACGGACCAUUCAAAUGGAAUCAGCAGGUACAGCCAGCCCUUCUCUCCCAGUAGAGGAGCGAGUUCAGCAGCACGCGACCAUGUUAAACCGGCUAGGGCCAGCCAUGGAUCGCAUGUUGUAAACUAUGGACAGAUGGGAGAGGAGGCUUUCCUGUCAACGCUACUACACCUCCACCCGCGCCUCAACCUACACCGAUGUCCACCCCUCUGUCGUCAAGUCCCCGUGGAAUUCAGGCUCUUGCUCACAGGAGCCAGGGUAUCCUACUCCAGCUGGAGCUCUACCUGGCAGCUCUUCAGCCGGCACCUUCCGGACGUGAGAGAGUGGGCGCUCUCAUCUCCUGCCUGACUGGAAAAGCCCUGGAGUGGGCCAACGCCAUCUGGGGAAGGGAAGGUCCGACUCUGGAUGACUAUGAGGACUUCUCCCUCCGCUUCCAUCUGGGGAAGAGAAGGACCGACUCUGGAUGACUAUGAGGUCUUCUCCCUCCGCUUCCAUCUGGGGAAGGGAAGGACCGACUCUGGAUGACUAUGAGGACUUCUCCCUCCGCUUCCAUCUGGGGAAGGGAAGGUCCGACUCUGGAUGACUAUGAGGACUUCUCCCUCCGCUUCCAUCUGGGGAAGGGAAGGUCCGACUCUGGAUGACUACAGGACUUCUCCCGCCGCUUCCAUCUGGGGAAGGGAAGGACCGACUCUGGAUGACUAUGAGGACUUCUCCCUUUGUUUCAUCUAAGAGUUUGUUUCAUCUAAGAAAGGAGAUGAGGAGCGCUCAAGAGUUCGCACUGGACUUCCGCACUGGACUCUGGCAGCUGGUGCGGGAUGGAAUGAGCGGGCCCUGAUCGACCACUACAGGUGUAGUUUACGUGAGGACGUUCGAAUGGAGCUAGCCUGCAGGGACACUACUCUCAACCUGGACCAGCUGGUGGACUUGUCUAUCCGGCUGGAUAACCUGUUGGCCUCCCGUGGACGUCUGGAUUGGGGUCCGCCCGUUCCAUUACCCAGCACAUUGGAUCCCACACCUAUGGAGCUACGAGGGGGACCGGAGGGGGGACCAUUCCCUGCACCAGCUGUGGCCGCAGAGGGCACACUGCUGGUCGGUGCUGAGGGGGUUCUCCAGGAGGUCGAGGUAGCAGGCGGAGCACUGG